rnacentral:rRNA from 1 species
GGCGAACGGGUGAGUAACACGUGAGUAACCUUCCCUUGACUCUGGGAUAAGCCUGGGAAACUGGGUCUAAUACCGGAUAUGACCAUUGGCCGCAUGGCCUGGUGGUGGAAAGCUUUUGUGGUUUUGGAUGGACUCGCGGCCUAUCAGCUUGUUGGUGAGGUAAUGGCUCACCAAGGCGACGACGGGUAGCCGGCCUGAGAGGGUGACCGGCCACACUGGGACUGAGACACGGCCCAGACUCCUACGGGAGGCAGCAGUGGGGAAUAUUGCACAAUGGGCGCAAGCCUGAUGCAGCGACGCCGCGUGAUGGAUGAAGGCCUUCGGGUUGUAAACAUCUUUCAGUAGGGAAGAAGCGAAAGUGACGGUACCUGCAGAAGAAGCGCCGGCUAACUACGUGCCAGCAGCCGCGGUAAUACGUAGGGCGCAAGCGUUAUCCGGAAUUAUUGGGCGUAAAGAGCUCGUAGGCGGUUUGUCGCGUCUGCUGUGAAAGCCCGGGGCUCAACCCCGGGUCUGCAGUGGGUACGGGCAGACUAGAGUGCAGUAGGGGAGACUGGAAUUCCUGGUGUAGCGGUGAAAUGCGCAGAUAUCAGGAGGAACACCGAUGGCGAAGGCAGGUCUCUGGGCUGUAACUGACGCUGAGGAGCGAAAGCAUGGGGAGCGAACAGGAUUAGAUACCCUGGUAGUCCAUGCCGUAAACGUUGGGCACUAGGUGUGGGGGACAUUCCACGUUUUCCGCGCCGUAGCUAACGCAUUAAGUGCCCCGCCUGGGGAGUACGGCCGCAAGGCUAAACUCAAAGGAAUUGACGGGGGCCCGCACAAGCGGCGGAGCAUGCGGAUUAAUUCGAUGCAACGCGAAGAACCUUACCAAGGCUUGACAUGAACCGG